GAUGAACGCUGGCGGCGUGCCUAAUACAUGCAAGUCGAGCGAACAGACGAGGAGCUUGCUCCUCUGACGUUAGCGGCGGACGGGUGAGUAACACGUGGAUAACCUACCUAUAAGACUGGGAUAACUUCGGGAAACCGGAGCUAAUACUGGAUAAUAUAUUGAACCGCAUGGUUCAAUAGUGAAUGACGGUUUUGCUGUCUCUUAUAGAUGGAUCCGCGCCGCAUUAGCUAGUUGGUAAGGUAACGGCUUACCAAGGCGACGAUGCGUAGCCGACCUGAGAGGGUGAUCGGCCACACUGGAACUGAGACACGGUCCAGACUCCUACGGGAGGCAGCAGUAGGGAAUCUUCCGCAAUGGGCGAAAGCCUGACGGAGCAACGCCGCGUGAGUGAAGAAGGUCUUCGGAUCGUAAAACUCUGUUAUUAGGGAAGAACAAAUGUGUAAGUAACUAUGCACGUCUUGACGGUACCUAAUCAGAAAGCCACGGCUAACUUCGUG
rnacentral:rRNA from 1 species